CCUAUAAUUUUAGAAAAAUAUAUAAAGUCAAAUAUAUGUAUAUGUACCAGUUACAUGAAAAUGAUGUUAAAGCUAGUUUACAAAAAUGAUGUACAACUAAAGAGCCAUACACUAUCCCGUUCUCUUUACAAAAUACAUGUGUAAAUGGUCAUAAAUUAUGUGAAUGGUUAAACGAGUCGCUAUCUACAUCGGAAGUAAAAAUGUACAAAGAUGCGGAAACAUUCCUGUCGAAAGUCCGGGGAUAAUUGAUACAUAUCAAUUUGAUAAAUCUCGAAAGAGCAUCACCCUCGGUAAAAAUUGCACGAUUUAUAAUGGCGACUAGCUUUCUGCAUAUUUAAUAAUAACAAUAUCUCAAUUACAACAACGUAAAUAUAACUUCGUUAUUGUCGUCCAGAAACUCUUUUACAAGAAUCCAAGAAGCGAAACAUACACUCUCAUUCGCAUAAAUUCAUCCAACAGAGGACAACGUCCAUAAUUCAUCGUUGUUUUAAAAGCAGAAUCUAAAUUAUAGUAAUAACGAUUCAUUGCAACGAAAAGAAAUAGGGAAUUACAGUUCCAUUGAGAGAACAAAGAACGAGAACCAAUGAAAAGAGCCGAUUUCUCGAAUGACGGAGCAGUGAACAAAAAUCAAAAUGCUUUAUUCAAUCCAUAGAGAACGGAGAUUUUAUUAUCAGCAAAAGUGAACAAAAUCAAUAAAAUCGUGAUCGUUUGAACGGGCCACGAUGGUAUAAUCCUCUUCUUAUCACAAAGGGCGAUUUCUAUAAUGUGUACGAUAGUAACGUGUAUCAACUAUCCCCAACUUCUUCUAAUCGAUGCGUAAUUUACGUGUAAGAGAGUUACUAACCAAACUCGAGCCGGCAGAAGAAGCAGACGUGGCAGCAGAGGUAGGCACCGUCAAUAUUGAAUGAUAUUGUCUACGACCGCGAAGCCGCAUGCCCCAAGACCAGCGUGUGACAUUAGCCGUACCAAUUCUCUCGCGUGAGACGCGGCCACUUCCAACGGCGGCCGUCGUGGCAAGUUACUCGACUCUAGAAGUAGCAGAUGAUCGACAUUAAAUUGUUGGAAUCUGAAUAGAAUACGUGAAACUAAGAUACGUCAUAAGAUACGUUAGAAUUAAAGACUAAAUCAAAAAUAAGAUUCGGCUGUGUUGAUUUAAAAAGUGUUACUAUUAAAUACAUGAGAUACCGUGAAUACACACAGAUUAAAAAUAUUAGUUUUUUACCGUAAUUUUAGAAAAUUAUACUUUAUAUUAGAAACGCUGUUUUAUUAUUAAAUUUGAAUAUAUUGCUAGAUAAUCAUUCUAAUUAAAUAAGCAAUUUAACAAGCACUUUGUGCAAUAGUCAAAAAUUGUAAUUUUCUUACCGAGUAUGGCAGAAUUGAGUCUCGCGCAGACGGUUUCCCUCUGUUGGGGAUCGAGUUGCCAACCAACCGGCGAGUUCCAUGGAUUUGCAUA